rnacentral:lncRNA from 1 species
GCCCGAUCCAGGCACAAAGGGCAGUCCUCUCCCUCCGGGCUGGAGCCUGGCUGCUGGCCCAGAGCGUCCGAGGAUGUCUUCCCUGUGGAGAGAUUCCACUCUGCUUUCUCCUCCUCCUCCCACGCUCUGGCUCUCAGAAUUUAUAGCAAACAUGGGCGUGAGGGGCUCAGGCUGCUGAUGAGUGGGUCCCAGAGGAAGGAGAAGACCUCCACGGAGGUUAGACAGUGAUUGUUGUUGAGGAAGAGAGGAAUGGCUUCAGGACUGGCCUGCGUCCAGGUCCCACUUAGGGGUCUGCCAGGUGGGGGAAGCCCCCGCUGCUGCUCUCAUGCGAGAUGGGCAGCCGCAGGACCCUGCUCCUUAGGGCAGAGCCACACAGGGACAAGGUGGCCAGGCAGCUGUGCUCACCUCCCGUCUUUGCAGAUGCGGCGUCCCCACCUGGCUGCUUGGGAGACUCUUGACGGCAGGGAGGCUGCGGGGAUUCCUCAUCUUAGCCCUGCUGUGAACCACCUGCAGCAAGGACUGUCUCCUGCCUUCUUUGGGAAGCCAAGCGUGGGCCAAAAUCAGUAAGAGAAGCCAGGUUUAGGAAUCUCAGGAAGGACCAUGUAAGAGUUUGCUAGGACUGCUGUCACAGAGUACCACAGCCUGGCAGCUUAAACAGCAGAAAUGUAUUGUCUUGCAGCUCUGGAGGCUGGAAGUCCCAGAGCAAGGUGUUAAGGUGUUGGCAGGGCUGGUUCCUUCCGAGGAUGUGAGGUGCCUCUUCCCUGGUGUCUGGUGAUGCUGACAAUCUUCAGUGAAGUCCCAGAGCAAGGUGUUGGCAGGGAUGGUUCCUUCUGAGGCUGUGAGGUGCCUAUUCCCUGGUGUCUGGUGAGGCUGACAAUCUUAGUGCUCCUUGGUGUGUAGAAACCAUGAUCUCUGCCUUCAUCUCCCCAUGAUGUUCUCCUUAUAUGUGUCUC